GAAACUUCAAUGGCCGUAAAUUCUCCAGCCGAGCUUAAGGGCACGUAGCAAAGAUACACACCAUGCACACAUGUAAGUAAUAGGUUGCGAUGAUAAUCAACUAUUUCCCAACCAAAUCUGCAGGCUGCAGGCCUCAUAACCAUGUACAUCCAUAAUGGGGCAAAUCUCCUUAAACUGAUAUUUGUAUAGUUUUAGUCAUUAUUACAGAAGUCUGACAGCAUGACAAAGAUGUUAUUCCAACAGCACCUACAGUUGUGUUGCAAGGUAACCCAGACGAUGUGAAAUGGGGUACAUCCAUAAUGCGGCAAAUCUCCUUAAACUGAUAUCUGUAUAGUUUUAGUCAUUAUUACAGAAGUCUGCCAGCAUGACAAAGAUGUUAUUCCAACAGCACCUACAGUUGUGUUGCAAGGUAACCCAGACGAUGUGAAAUGGGGUACAUCCAUAAUGCGGCAAAUCUCCUUAAACUGAUAUCUGUAUAGUUUGUCAUUAUUACAGAAGUCUGCCAGCAUGACAAAGAUGUUAUUCCAACAGCACCUACAGUUGGGUUGCAAGGUAACCCAGACGAUGUGAAAUGGGGUACAUCCAUAAUGCGGCAAAUCUCCUUAAACUGAUAUCUGUAUAGUUUUAGUCAUUAUUACAGAAGUCUGCCAGCAUGACAAAGAUGUUAUUCCAACAGCACCUACAGUUGGGUUGCAAGGUAACCCAGACGAUGUGAAAUGGGAAAUGUACAUCCAUAAUGGGGCAAAUCUCCUUAAACUGAUAUUUGUAUAGUUUUAGUCAUUAUUACAGAAGUCUGCCAGCAUGACAAAGAUGUUAUUCCAACAGCACCUACAGUU
rnacentral:lncRNA from 1 species